rnacentral:rRNA from 1 species
AUUGAACGCUGGCGGCAUGCCUUACACAUGCAAGUCGAACGGCAGCGGGGGAGAAGCUUGCUUUUCCUGCCGGCGAGUGGCGAACGGGUGAGUAAUACAUCGGAACGUGCCCUGUAGUGGGGGAUAACUAGUCGAAAGAUUAGCUAAUACCGCAUACGACCUGAGGGUGAAAGUGGGGGACCGCAAGGCCUCAUGCUAUAGGAGCGGCCGAUGUCUGAUUAGCUAGUUGGUGGGGUAAAGGCCUACCAAGGCGACGAUCAGUAGCUGGUCUGAGAGGACGAUCAGCCACACUGGGACUGAGACACGGCCACGGCUCCUACGGGAGGCAGCAGUUGGGAAUUUUGGACAAUGGGCGAAAGCCUGAUCCAGCAAUGCCGCGUGUGUGAAGAAGGCCUUCGGGUUGUAAAGCACUUUUGUCCGGAAAGAAAUGGCUCUGGUUAAUACCUGGGGUCGAUGACGGUACCGGAAGAAUAAGGACCGGCUAACUACGUGCCAGCCGCCGCCGUAA